rnacentral:rRNA from 1 species
UACGUAGGGGCCGAGCGUUGUCCGGAGUUAUUGGGCGUAAAGCGCGCGCAGGCGGCUUCGCGCGCCCGCCGUGAAAGCCCCCGGCUUAACCGGGGAGAGUCGGUGGGGACGGCGGAGCUUGAGGGCGGGAGAGGUCGGUGGAAUUCCCGGUGUAGUGGUGAAAUGCGUAGAGAUCGGGAGGAACACCUGUGGCGAAGGCGGCCGACUGGGCCGACCC